rnacentral:rRNA from 1 species
CAAANACAUGGCCUUUGAAUUUAAUAGAAGGUCUNNCCUGCCCAGUGAUGAAUUUAACGGCCGCGGUAUACUNACCGNGCAAAGGNAGCAUANUCAUUAGUCUUUUAAUAGAGGGNNGGAAUGAAAGGUUUAACGAGGAACNGACUGUCUCAUUUUAUUUGUUUNAAAAUUUAAUUUUUUAGUUAAAAAGCUAAAAUUUUAUNGGAAGNCGAGAAGNCCCUAUAGNUCUUCCACAUAUUUUUAAUUAAAUAUUUUUAUAUUAAUAUUUUUAUUUAAUAUUAUGUUUUGUNGGGGUGACANAAAUAUAAAUAUAACUUUUUUAUUUAUUUAACAUUGAUAUAUGAUUAUUAGAUCCAUUCUUAUUGAUUGUUAGAACAAGUUACCUUAGGGAUAACAGCGUAAUCCUCCUCCAGAGUUCAUAUUUACAGGAUGGGCUUGCGACCUCNNUGUUGGAUUAAGAUAAUAAUUAGGUGUAGCCGCCUAANUUAUGGGUCUGUUCGACCUUUAAACUCUUACGUGAUCUGAG